rnacentral:lncRNA from 1 species
CUGCCUUUCCCGCCUCGCUUGAGGACAUUGGUUGUCAGGUAAUAUCCCACCACGCCCUCCCAGACCUUGCUUUCCGGACUAUUUAAUCAAGGAGGGCAAUACUUUUUUUACAUUUAUUCAAAAAGCAUCGUGUGCCAUGUGCCAGGCACUGCGCAAGGUUUGGAAAUACACGGCUGACUGAAACAAAACUGCGCCUUCAAGGAGCUUACGGUCUAUUGGGGAAACAGACCAGAAACAGAUACCUACAAAAUAAAGACAAGCGCAAGGAAAGAGGUCCCAAGGAACCACUUUCCAUUAUACGACUCUGCUCUCCUGGCCACGGUUCAAUGCAGGGGCCAAUAAGAGGACCUUUGCUAAAAAUGUGAGAGAGUUCAAUCAUGUGCGUAGACCUCAGCUCAGGCUGCCAUAAACAACAUAGAGAAAUUUGCUUCCCCACAGUUCUGGAGAUUGGAAGUCCCC